rnacentral:rRNA from 1 species
GACGAACGCUGGCGGCGUGCUUAACACAUGCAAGUCGAACGAAGAGCGAUGGAAGCUUGCUUCUAUCAAUCUUAGUGGCGAACGGGUGAGUAACGCGUAAUCAACCUGCCCUUCAGAGGGGGACAACAGUUGGAAACGACUGCUAAUACCGCAUACGAUCUAAUCUCGGCAUCGAGGAUGGAUGAAAGGUGGCCUCUAUUUAUAAGCUAUCACUGAAGGAGGGGAUUGCGUCUGAUUAGCUAGUUGGAGGGGUAACGGCCCACCAAGGCGAUGAUCAGUGGCCGGUCUGAGAGGAUGAACGGCCACAUUGGGACUGAGACACGGCCCAGACUCCUACGGGAGGCAGCAGUGGGGAAUCUUCCGCAAUGGACGAAAGUCUGACGGAGCAACGCCGCGUGAGUGAUGACGGCCUUCGGGUUGUAAAGCUCUGUUAAUCGGGACGAAAGGCCUUCUUGCGAAUAGUUAGAAGGAUUGACGGUACUGGAAUAGAAAGCCACGGCUAACU